rnacentral:rRNA from 1 species
GAGUUUGAUCCUGGCUCAGAUUGAACGCUGGCGGCAGGCCUAACACAUGCAAGUCGAGCGGUAACAGAGAGAAGCUUGCUUCUUUGCUGACGAGCGGCGGACGGGUGAGUAACGCGUAGGAAUCUACCGAUUAGUGGGGGAUAGCCCAGGGAAACUUGGAUUAAUACCGCAUACGCCCUACGGGGAAAAGCGGGGGAUCUUCGGACCUCGCGCUAAUCGAUGAGCCUGCGUAAGAUUAGCUAGUUGGUGAGGUAAGAGCUCACCAAGGCGACGAUCUUUAGCUGGUCUGAGAGGAUGAUCAGCCACACUGGGACUGAGACACGGCCCAGACUCCUACGGGAGGCAGCAGUGGGGAAUAUUGGA